GGGGACUUAGCUCAGUGGCAUAAGCGCCUGCCUUGCAAGCAGGCAGUUGUUCAAUCCCCG
rnacentral:tRNA from 1 species